ACGAAGGGGGCUAGCGUUGCUCGGAAUUACUGGGCGUAAAGCGCACGUAGGCGGAUAGUUAAGUUGGGGGUGAAAUCCUGGAGCUCAACUCCAGAACUGCCUCCAAAACUGGCGAUCUUGAGUUCGGGAGAGGUGAGUGGAACUGCGAGUGUAGAGGUGAAAUUCGUAGAUAUUCGCAAGAACACCAGUGGCGAAGGCGGCUCACUGGCCCGAUACUGACGCUGAGGUGCGAAAGCGUGGGGAGCAAACAGG
rnacentral:rRNA from 1 species